UCAAGAUGUGGCCUGCACCAGUGCUUCUGCUCGUCCAGUCGGCUCUGCUGAUUCAAGGAUCUUCCGCCCAGGAUUCUCAGAUCCAGACGGCCAAAAUCAAGUAUGUCAGUCUUGGUGGGACGGUGACCAUCAGCGCCAAAUGGAGUUCAAAUACUGGUCCUUAUCUCAGUUGGUACCAAGUGAAACCUGGACAGGUUCCUAAACUUCUGAUCUAUGAUGCAUCACAACUUUUUUCUGGAACACCACCUCGAUUCAGUGGCACACGAUCUGGCUCUGACUACACUCUGACUAUCAGUGGUGUUCAGGCAGAAGAUGUCGCUGAUUACUACUGUUUUGCCUAUUUUGGAGGUGGAUUAAAGUAUACACAGUGA